GAUCAUGGCUCAGAUUGAACGCUGGCGGCGUGCUUAACACAUGCAAGUCGAACGCGAAAGUGGCUUCGGCCACGAGUAGAGUGGCGCACGGGUGAGUAACGCGUGGAUAAUCUGCCUCUGCAAUCGGAAUAACGACUGGAAACGGUCGCUAAUACCGGAUACGCUUAAGCUUUACCUCUUAAGGAAAGAUGACCUCUAUUUAUAAGUUAUCGUGCAAAGAUGAGUCCGCGUCCCAUUAG
rnacentral:rRNA from 1 species